rnacentral:rRNA from 1 species
GGUCAAGCGAUGAAGCGCACACGGUGGAUGCCUUGGCAGUCAGAGGCGAUGAAAGACGUGGAAGCCUGCGAUAAGGUUCGGCGAGGUGGCAAACAACCUGCGACCCGGACAUCUCUGAAUGGGGAAACCCACCUAUCGUCAGAUAGGUAUCGUGCACUGAAUACAUAGGUGCACGAGGCGAACCGGGGGAACUGAAACAUCUAAGUACCCCGAGGAAAAGAAAUCAACCGAGAUUCCCCCAGUAGCGGCGAGCGAACGGGGACCAGCCCUUAAGCGGGUGAAAGGUUAGGCGAAUGAGUUGGGAAACUCAGCGAUACAGGGUGAUAGCCCCGUAGUCGAAAGCCUGAUCCCGUGAAAUCGAGUAGGUCGGGGCACGUGAAACCCUGAUUGAAGACGGGGGGACCAUCCUCCAAGGCUAAAUACUCCUGACUGACCGAUAGUGAACCAGUACCGUGAGGGAAAGGCGAAAAGAACCCCGGAGAGGGGAGUGAAAUAGACCCUGAAACCGUGUGCGUACAAGCAGUGGGAGCGGGCUCGUCCCGUGACCGCGUACCUUUUGUAUAAUGGGUCAGCGACUUAUAUUCAGUGGCGAGCUUAACCGUAUAGGGGAGGCGUAGGGAAACCGAGUCUUAACUGGGCGACCAGUCGCUGGAUAUAGACCCGAAACCGGGCGAUCUAUCCAUGAGCAGGUUGAAGGUUGAGUAACAUCAACUGGAGGACCGAACCAGGAUCUGUUGAAAAAGAUUUGGAUGACUUGUGGAUCGGAGUGAAAGGCUAAUCAAGCCCGGAGAUAGCUGGUUCUCCUCGAAAGCUAUUUAGGUAGCGCCUCACGUAUCACCGCCGGGGGUAGAGCACUGUUUCGGCUAGGGGGUCAUCCCGACUUACCAACCCGAGGCAAACUCCGAAUACCGGUGAGUGCAGCGUGGGAGACACACAGCGGGUGCUAACGUCCGUUGUGAAAAGGGAAACAACCCAGACCGUCAGCUAAGGUCCCCAAAUCCUGGUUAAGUGGGAAACGAUGUGGGAAGGCUCAGACAGCUAGGAGGUUGGCUUAGAAGCAGCCAUCCUUUAAAGAAAGCGUAAUAGCUCACUAGUCGAGUCGGCCUGCGCGGAAGAUGUAACGGGGCUCAAACCAGGUACCGAAGCUACGGGUGCAUCGAAUGAUGCGCGGUAGAGGAGCGUCGUGUACGCCGACGAAGGUGAGUCGAGAGGCUUGCUGGAGGUAUCACGAGUGCGAAUGCUGACAUGAGUAACGAUAAGGGGGGUGAAAAACCUCCCCGCCGGAAGACCAAGGGUUUCUGUUCGACGCUAAUCGGAGCAGAGUGAGUCGGCCCCUAAGGCGAGGCCGAAAGGCGUAGUCGAUGGGAAACGGGUCAAUAUUCCCGUACUUCACUGUAUUGCGAUGGGGGGACGGAGAAGGCUAGGUGAGCCAGGCGUUGGUUGUCCUGGUGAAAGUCAGUAGGCUGGGGGAUUAGGCAAAUCCGGUUCCC